rnacentral:rRNA from 1 species
CGACAUCUGAGUUGGACUAAAGAUUCAUCGCUAUGGGAUGGGGAUGCGUCCGAUUAGCUUGCCGGCGGGGCAACGGCCCACCGGGGCGACGAUCGGUAGGGGUUCUGAGAGGAAGGUCCCCCACACUGGUACUGAGACACGGACCAGACUCCUACGGGAGGCAGCAGUGAGGAAUAUUGGUCAAUGGGCGAGAGCCUGAACCAGCCAAGUAGCGUGCAGGACGACGGCCCUACGGGUUGUAAACUGCUUUUAUACGGGGAUAAAGUUCGCCACGUGUGGUGUUUUGUAGGUACCGUAUGAAUAAGGACCGGCUAAUUCCGUGCC